AUACGAAAGGUGCAAGCGUUGUUCGGAUUUACUGGGCGUAAAGAGAGUGUAGGUUGUUUAUUAAGUCGGAUGUGAAAUCCCGGGGCUCAACCUCGGAACUGCAUUCGAUACUGAUGGGCUAGAGUUUGGGAGGGGUAAGCGGAAUUCCGUGUGUAGCAGUGAAAUGCGUAGAUAUACGGGGGAACACCUGAGGCGAAGGCGGCUUACUGGACCAAUACUGACACUGAGACUCGAAAGCGUGGGUAGCAAACAGGAUUAGAAACCCUAGUAGUCC
rnacentral:rRNA from 1 species